rnacentral:rRNA from 1 species
GGUCAAGAAGAGAAGCGCAAACGGUGGAUGCCUUGGCAGUAAGAGGCGAAGAAGGACGUGGAAUCCUGCGAAAAGCUAUGGGGAGCUGGAAACGAGCGUUGAGCCAUAGAUGUCCGAAUGGGGGAACCCGGCUGCAGCGAUGCGGUCAUUUGCAUUUGAAUACAUAGGAUGCAAAGGCGAACUCGGGGAACUGAAACAUCUAAGUACCCGAAGGAAAAGAAAUCAAGAGAGAUUCUCCAAGUAGCGGCGAGCGAACGGGGAGGAGCCUGGCGUGAUUUAUUAUUGAACUGAGUAGAACAAUUUGGGAAAGUUGGCGAUAGAGGGUGAAAGCCCCGUAUACGAAGGUUUGAUGAGGAACUAGGCACGCGAACAAGUAGGCCGGGACACGUGAAAUCCUGGUUGAAGAUGGGUGGACCAUCAUCCAAGGCUAAAUACUACUUACUGACCGAUAGUGAACCAGUACCGUGAGGGAAAGGUGAAAAGAACCCCGGAGAGGGGAGUGAAAUAGAAUCUGAAACCGUUUGCGUACAAGCAGUGGGAGCAUGGUUUAGGCUGUGUGACUGCGUACCUUUUGUAUAAUGGGUCAGCGAGUUACUUUCAGUGGCGAGGUUAACUGCAUAAGGGAGCCGUAGAGAAAUCGAGUCUGAAUAGGGCGAUAGUCGCUGGGAGUAGACCCGAAACCGGGCGAUCUAGCCAUGUGCAGGAUGAAGGUUGGGUAACACCAACUGGAGGUCCGAACCGGGUAAUGUUGAAAAAUUAUCGGAUGACGUGUGGCUAGGAGUGAAAGGCUAAUCAAGCCCGGAGAUAGCUGGUUCUCCCCGAAAGCUAUUUAGGUAGCGCCUCGUGAAUGAUUACUGGGGGUAGAGCACUGUUUCGGCUAGGGGGCUGUCAUGGCUUACCAAACCGAUGCAAACUCCGAAUACCGGCUAAUUGAAUCACGGGAGACACACGGCGGGUGCUAACGUCCGUCGUGGAGAGGGAAACAACCCAGACCGCCAGCUAAGGUCCCCAAGUACUAGUUAAGUGGGAAACGAUGUGGGAAGGCAUAGACAGCCAGGAGGUUGGCUUAGAAGCAGCCACCCUUUAAAGAAAGCGUAAUAGCUCACUGGUCGAGUCGGCCUGCGCGGAAGAUGUAACGGGGCUAAAACUAGUCACCGAAGCUGCGGAUGUGCGCGAAGGCGCACGUGGUAGGGGAGCGUUCUGUAGGCUGAUGAAGGUGCAUUGAGAAGUGUGCUGGAGGUAUCAGAAGUGCGAAUGCUGACAUGAGUAACGAUAAUGUGGGUGAAAAGCCCACACGCCGGAAGUCCCAGGUUUCCUGCACGACGUUAAUCGGAGCAGGGUGAGUCGGCCCCUAAGGCGAGGCUGAAGAGCGUAGUCGAUGGGAACCAGGUUAAUAUUCCUGGACUUUUUAUAAGUGGUGAAGUGGGGACGAAGAAGGCUAGGUGAGCCAGGCGUUGGUUGUCCUGGUACUUGCAUGUAGGGGGGAAGACUUGGCAAAUCCGGUUUUCCAUAACUCUGAGGUGCGAAGUGGUUCUGACCUUUUGGUACAGAGAAGUCAUUGAUGCCCGGCUUCCAGGAAAAGCUGCUAGCCAUAACUUAUAGAGAACCGUACCGCAAACCGACACAGGUGGACAGGUAGAGAAUACUAAGGCGCUUGAGAGAACUCGGGUGAAGGAACUAGGCAAAAUGGUACCGUAACUUCGGGAGAAGGUACGCCCUUUCUGGUGAUGGGAUUUACUUUCAGAGCUGGAGAGGGCCGCAGAGACCAGGUGGCUGCGACUGUUUAUUAAAAACACAGCACUCUGCAAAUUCGUAAGAAGACGUAUAGGGUGUGACGCCUGCCCGGUGCCGGAAGGUUAAUUGAUGGGGUUAUCUUCGGAGAAGCUCUUGAUCGAAGCCCCGGUAAACGGCGGCCGUAACUAUAACGGUCCUAAGGUAGCGAAAUUCCUUGUCGGGUAAGUUCCGACCUGCACGAAUGGCGUAACGAUGGCCACACUGUCUCCACCCGAGACUCAGUGAAAUUGAAAUCGCUGUGAAGAUGCAGUGUACCCGCGGCUAGACGGAAAGACCCCGUGAACCUUUACUAUAGUUUUGCACUGGACUUUGAUGAUGACUGUGUAGGAUAGGUGGGAGGCUGUGAAGUGAG